AAUUAACACCGGACGACUCCUCAGCCGCCGGACGGCCCGGCAGCAGAGCCCUUUUUGCGGGAGGAAGGGCUGCAAGUCCCGCUUCCGCUUCCGCGCCGCUUCUAACCCGACAGCGGAAGUGCCGGGACCCCUAUAAACGGCACAAGGAAGCGCGACACGCACACGCCGUCGCGACGCCACGCUGCCAUCUAGGGCCCGCCGCUCCUUGUACGGGCACAGGAGGUGGGGCCUGCUGCCUGACGUCGAAGUCGAGGCGGGGCUCCGAUAGGGGGAACCUGGGGCUGGGGGCGGGGCCUAUGCAAAUCGCUGGGCUGAAACAUAAAUAGAGCACUCCGCGGACACGGGGGUGGCGGGGGCGGCCGGGUUGGAUGCGCGGUGGGUUGUGAGAAUGUCAGGCUCCUGUGACGCGGGAGGCGGGGCCCAGGCGGGGUUCCCGCGGGAGGGGGCGGGCCGCCGGGCCGGGCCUGAGGUGGGUGGGUCCCUGCGCCCCCUGCCUGCUCAACUUCCCUCUCCAGCUCCCGGCUCGUCUUUGAUGUCCGACAAGCCACGGGCUGCCGCCCUCCUGCCCGCCCGCACAGCCACGAAAAAUCACGCGCGGAGGCCGAUCCCGCAGACCCUGAGCCUUGCGUGGCUCCGUCGCGAGUCCUGGGCUGCGGGUCCCUGGGGCUGCGACGCGGGCGGACUUUCCAUGGCUGCCUUACUUGCGAGGAAAAUUUUGGUAACACGAUGUUUUUUAUGCAUCCGUCUGGUAUUUUUCUGGGCACCUCCUCCACGCCUAGGAAAAGGCCCGGACAGAAGGCUCGUUUUGGACAAAUCGAAGGCGAAGUCUCUCUCCAUUUGUUUUGUUCCUGGAUGUCUUUUAAAGAUAAAAGUAGUUUUUGAUGUUUUUAAACCUUUUAGGUGAUAGGACAAGAAAGUAAGCUAAAAGGGUAAACUACAACUUGGGCUCUAUUUUGCCUUCAGCAACGGCCAUGGUAGGAGUUUAACAGAUAUGGUUUGUAGAUCACCCACAAAGUUAUUGAGCUGCAGAGUUAAAGAUGACAAACGGGUGCCCCCAGGCGGGACAAGUGAUUCACUCAGGGUCCUAGGGGGUGGUAGUGGGAAAGAUUAAUUUACCUCGAACAGGAAAAUGGACACCUUUGGAGGGGCCUAACGUUGAGAGAUGUCAGUGGGUUUAAGGCGUCGCCCUUCCCUAGAAAGAUCUAGUUUAACUUUCAAAGACAAAUGCAGCUUCGCCUCGCCCCCCCACACACACACCGAGGCAUGACCCCUUGCCCACAGCGUUCUCUGAGGGCUGCGCCCACUCUCCCCUGCAGCCACGGCUGGGCCGGGCUCUCAGGAUUUCCCUGGCGCUGCCCUGCCUCCCUUGUCUCCGGGUCCUCGUUUCUUCCUCCAAAAUGUGUAGUGUAACCCUGCCCUGCAACCUGUGGUGGCUGAUGGCCCUUCCUCUCUCGGGAACCAUUCACCCUACAGCUGUCCCCGCAACAGUACUGUCUGCCCCUCGGCUCACUAGUUUCUUCCUGGAGGCCAGCUCACAUUUCCAAGAUCACCAGGAUACCCCUGGCCACCUUAGACGCAAAGUACCACCUUUCCCAGAGCCCAGUCUCCCCUGGGUGUUGGUGACUGUUACACCCCCUUUCCAAGGCUUGCCACCCUGUGCCUUGUUGACUGCCUCUCGCCUGCAGCUCCCACGCCCGGCGUGCUGUGUUGUCUAUCCCAGCCCCUCUUCACUGCUCAUAGUCGAUUAUUCCUCCUCCUCGCUCUGCGGGAGCCUCCUGGCUGGUGUGUCUGCAUAGGCUUUCCUCCUCCACACCAUCUCCCACUCAGCUGCUGUGUUUCCCAAAGUACAUCUCUGACGGUGUCACCACUUCCCCAAGGCCCUCUCCGCGGCUCUCCGCUGCCUGCUGGAAGGAGUCCAGACUCAGAGCUGAUCCUAACCAAAGCCAAGUUUCCAGCCUGGACUCCUGUUCAAGCCCAACAGACCUUCUCCCAGUUCCCCUGCAGGAUGUAGGGAAUGUUCCAGCAGGACCCUGCGCUCUGCACAAUUACUCUGGGCGGUCCUGCUGCCUCAGGGCUCUCUCUUCCCUUGCAACUUGUCAAGUUGCCAGUCUCCCUUCAGUGAUUUGCCCCAAGGCGACUUCCUCUGGGAAAAGGAAGCCCACCUGGAUGUGUGAUCUCUCCCACUCCUCAAGCCCCUCUAAAACUGCAGGUCUUCCUUGUGACAUUUCGGUCAUCUGCCUAGCACCACAGUUACCUUCAGACUUGCCUAAGCCUUGUGUGCUCUCUCUGCUGACUAGAAAUUCUCUGAGGGUUGGGAUCCUGCGUCAUCCAUUUCUGUAGCCCCAAAGUGCCUGGCCCUGCACUGCAAGGCUUCUGUCUCCCUGGAGGUUGGCUACACCCAUGAGCCCAGAGAGAAGUAAGCAAUGGUAUGUCAUCUUUGGCUGGUGCUUGUGCCACCUCCGAUUUCGGGAGAUGUAUAGUGGGGUGUGUGUGUGUGUGUGUGUGUGUGUGUGUGUCCAUGGAAAUCAUUACUAAAUUCCAGCAGGCCUCUAACCCCCGGGACCAAAUCAAGGGGAAGAACCCUCUCCAGUGUGUUUACCGUUAGGCAAUGGGUGGGAAAUCAAAGUACAGAAAGUUUACAGUUUCCCACGUGAGUGAGUCAUCAUAGCACAUCACACCGGACUACAUCCGCCAGCCCCAGGCUCCCAGCAGACUGCAUGAACAGCACUGCGACUGGCUACACUGACGAACUUAAGAAAGAGGGGCCACCCCCUGCCACCGAAGCACCAUACACCGCCUCUGGCCCAUUGCAUUUGGAUGUACAUGUGGAUGGCAAAGCAAUUUACUGGACAAGGGCAGUGGAGUACUAGCCAGAAAGCUAUCAUGGCUCCUCCACCAUCCUUCUAUUUUAAAACGAAAACUUUGAAUAAGUUCAGUAGAGGUUCAUCAAAUUCCUGGGGCACUGGUUUUCAAAGAGACCCCUAGGGAGCCCCCAAAGCAUAAUGUACACGGAAAUGAAUACGUGGGGCAAGCUCCCCAGUCAGUUGUCUUUACUCUGACGUUUGAAAGCUACCCUUUGGGGGCAAGAACUUCACACAGCCCAGCGCUUAAGAGGAGGCCACGGAGAGAGCAAAUGACCUUGCCUCGUCUUUAUUGGCAGUCAUCUCAGCUAAUUGAGACAGUAAUUUGCCAUUAGUAGGAAGAGUCCAAGACAUGGAAAUUGGAUUAGAUCUAAAGAACUUCAAGUCAUUUGAAGAUGGACACGACACUAUAUCCAUUUCCAUGUUGUUUUCCCUACUGGGUAUAUUCUUGAUGUUAUAAUCGCAAUCGAUCACAUUCUGUGGACUGUAACUAAACGUGUAAAGAGAAGAAAAAACCUAAAACAGCAUAGUUAACCUGAGAAACAGGCCUAAUUCUCCCCUCAAAUAGAGAGUGCCCCAGUGGGUUAACAAGAAUGAAGCAUCAUGUCUUAAAGAUGGCGCUGCAUCCACGAAAAAUGUCCAGUAUCAGAGGAACUGCCAGCAGAGUCUUCCUGGCCAGUCCUUUCCAAUACGUAGAUUCUUGGGCAAAAGACAAGAGGGCAGGGAAUGACCAGCCCCAAGCCAUCAGUCUUUCCUCUCUCUCUGAAGAGGGGAAAAUUUUGGUCCAUUGGAACUGUGUUAAAUCCUGGAGAAUGGAGCCACAGAUAUCUUACUGUUGGUAUUUUUUUUUUUAAACAGAACUUACAUACACAAUGUUUGAUGGCUUCUCCACACCACAGUAAGUCAUAUGAUGCCCCAGCCCCUACACAAGAAACACAUGAAGAAACUGAGGCUCAGAGAAACUAGCCAAAAGUUAUUUGGCUCCUAAUCAACAGCAAUUCAAUUUCAGUCUGUCUGACUCCAAAGCUAGAACUUUUUCCGUUAUCCAGUAUUUUCCAAACUUGCCAUAUUGUAAGAAUCAGCCUGAGGACUUGUUAAAAAUAUAGAUUUCCUUUACCUCUCCCCCUGGAGAUUCUACCGUGGCAGCACUGGGGUGGGGCUUGGAAUCCAUCAUUUUAACCCAUGCCCUGGAUAAUUCUUCGGCACAAGCAAAAUGGGAAACAUCCUAUCCCACGCCCCCUGUCACUCACUCACCCACACCGUUUCAUGCCUUAAGAGAAACUCUUCUAAAACUAGCUGUAACUGUAAGAAUGUGCAUUCAACCCCUGAUCGCCCAGCCAGUCUUUUCCAUCUUACUUCCAAGCUCAAUGUAGUCUGUUGAGAUGGAAGACUUUAGAGUUAUCAUCUGGAAUUUUGGGAAAAAAUCAUAGGGCCAAUCUUGUGGCACAGGUUAAGCCCCCACUUUCAAUAAUGGCACCCAUAUGGAAGAUCCAGCUCAAGUCCUGGCUCCUCUGCUUCCCAUCCCGCUCCUGGCUAAUACACUUGGGAAAGCAACAGAAGGUGGCCCAAGUACUUGGGCUGCUGCUAGCUAUACGGGAGACCCAGAUGGACUUCCAGGCUCCUGGCUUCAUCCUGACCCAGUCCUGGCCAUUGUGGCCAUUUGGGGAGUGAACCAGAGAAUGGAUCGAUCGAUCGAUCGAUCGAUCUAUCUAUCUCUGUCAUCUAUCUAUCUCUGUCAUCUAUCUAUCUCUGUCUCUGUUUCUAUCUCUUUCAAAUAAAUAGCUCUUUUCUAAAAAAUUAUUACA
ensembl:lncRNA